GACGAACGCUGGCGGCGUGCCUAAUACAUGCAAGUCGAGCGGACUGAAUGGGAGCUUGCUCUUGUUCGGUCAGCGGCGGACGGGUGAGUAACACGUGGGCAACCUGCCCGCAAGACCGGGAUAACUCCGGGAAAUCGGAGCUAAUACCGGAUAACACCGAAGACCGCAUGGUCUUUGGUUGAAAGGCGGCGCAAGCUGCCACUUGCGGAUGGGCCCGCGGCGCAUUAGCUAGUUGGUGAGGUAACGGCUCACCAAGGCGACGAUGCGUAGCCGGCCUGAGAGGGUGACCGGCCACACUGGGACUGAGACACGGCCCAGACUCCUACGGGAGGCAGCAGUAGGGAAUCUUCCGCAAUGGGCGAAAGCCUGACGGAGCGACGCCGCGUGAGCGAAGAAGGCCUUCGGGUCGUAAAGCUCUGUUGUGAGGGACGAAGGAGCGCCGUUUGAAGAAGGCGGCGCGGUGACGGUACCUCACGAGGAAGCCCCGGCUAACUACGUG
rnacentral:rRNA from 1 species